rnacentral:rRNA from 1 species
GACGAACGCUGGCGGCGUGCUUAACACAUGCAAGUCGAACGGAAAGGCCCUGCUUUUGUGGGGUGCUCGAGUGGCGAACGGGUGAGUAACACGUGAGUAACCUGCCCUUGACUUUGGGAUAACUUCAGGAAACUGGGGCUAAUACCGGAUAGGAGCUCCUGCUGCAUGGUGGGGGUUGGAAAGUUUCGGCGGUUGGGGAUGGACUCGCGGCUUAUCAGCUUGUUGGUGGGGUAGUGGCUUACCAAGGCUUUGACGGGUAGCCGGCCUGAGAGGGUGACCGGCCACAUUGGGACUGAGAUACGGCCCAGACUCCUACGGGAGGCAGAAGUGGGGAAUAUUGCACAAUGGGCGGAAGCCGGAUGCAGCAACGCCGCGUGCGGGAUGACGGCCUUCGGGUUGUAAACCGCUUUCGCCUGUGACGAAGCGUGAGUGACGGUAAUGGGUAAAGAAGCACCGGCUAACUACGUG